GUUAUUGUCAGCGGUUCGGAUGAUGAUGGUGAUGAUCGAGGUAACGCCCAAAACAGGAGAGCCAUUUGCAGACUACCCCCAGACAUAGGACCGUGUGAUGGUAUUUGUCCACGUUACUACUUCGACUAUAAACGACGCACCUGUAGAAGAUUUGAUUUUGGAUGCUGCGAAGGAAACGCCAACAACUUUAAAACUAAGUCACAAUGCCGGGAAGUAUGUCAAAACGACAGAGAUUGAGAAUCGGCCGAAUAUUGUUAAAAGAAGACAAAGAACUCGUAAUUUAAUUUUAACAGAAUAAUGUUGUACAUUUUGUUCCUACACUGUUAAAUCUUGCAGAUUUGCAGAAAGAGAAGGCAUUGCAAAUAAAACAUGUGAA